rnacentral:pre_miRNA from 1 species
GAGCGUCCGGUCGGGUGCAGUUGGAUCUGCGAUGCGUUUUCAGUUUUAACAAACGGAUGUAACUGGAUUUGUAUAACCAGGUCCUACUACACCCAACCAAACGCUCCCAACGUGCUGAAGAUAUCUAAGGUUGGUUCCGGUAAACGCAAACUACGAAGAGGUAAUAUCGCUAUGUUGAAAACUACAUUAUUUUCCGAAGACUUUAUUUUAUUUUCCGAGCUAUGUGCUGAGUAUAUUAGCUGAUCCACUUGGGCCCGUAUCGGAUGGAA